UAUUCUGACUGUGCAAAGGUAGCAUAAUCACUUGCCUUUUAAUUGAGGGCUAGAAUGAAAGAGGCGACGAAAUUUAGGCUAUUUAUUUAUAAAUUGAAAUUAACAUAAAGGUUAAAAGGCCUUUAUACACCAAAGGGACGAUAAGACCCUAUAAAACUUUACUGUAAAUAUAAAGCUAUACAAGGGAAGCUAAAAUUUUAUAGUUUGGCUGGGGCGGCCUAUAUAAAAACAAUUGAAAUAAAAAUAUUUUAAAUAGAAAUAGAGAGCUUUAAUUUGAAAUAAAUAAGUUACUUUAGGGAUAACAGCAUAAUUCUCCCAGAGAGUCCUAAUCGGCGGGGGAGUUUAUGACCUCGAUGUUGAAUUGGGAGGUCUGGUGUAAGUAGAAAUAUACUAAGAGGGUCUGUUCGACCUUUAAAUUCCC
rnacentral:rRNA from 1 species